UACGAAGGGGGCAAGCGUUGUUCGGAUUUACUGGGCGUAAAGGGCGCGUAGGCGGAUCUUUAAGUCAGAGGUGAAAGCCCUGGGCUCAACCCGGGAAUUGCCUUUGAGACUGGGGAUCUUGAGUAUGGGAGAGGGUGGCGGAAUACCCAGUGUAGAGGUGAAAUUCGUAGAUAUUGGGUAGAACACCAGUGGCGAAGGCGGCCACCUGGCCCAUAACUGACGCUGAGGCGCGAAAGCGUGGGGAGCAAACAGG
rnacentral:rRNA from 1 species